GGAGCCGCGAGCGCCACCAGGGCAGCAGCCGCCGCAGCCGCCGCCGCUGGGCAGAGGAGCCGGAGACGCGAGCGGGCGAGGUGGCGGCGGCGGCGGAGCGGGAGCCGGUACCGGGCGCGGGCAGAGCGCGGCGGCGCGGGUGUGUUCCAGAGAACAAGCCUUCAGACAUAUUUGCUAUAUUGACGCUGAGCUGUCAGGGGACUCAGGCUUAUGAGGAGGUAUUGUUACACAAAACAGUGUCUAGUGAAGACGACAAGAAAGAGGGGAAAGGAUCGGAAAAAGAAGCUAAAAUACUAUAGAAAACCAUGAGAUCUAUUCGAUCUUUUGCUAAUGAUGAUCGCCAUGUUAUGGUGAAACAUUCAACAAUCUAUCCAUCUCCGGAGGAACUUGAAGCUGUUCAGAAUAUGGUAUCUACUGUUGAAUGUGCUCUUAAACAUGUCUCAGAUUGGUUGGAUGAAACAAAUAAAGGCACAAAAACAGAGGGUGAGACAGAAGUGAAGAAAGAUGAGGCCGGAGAAAACUAUUCCAAGGAUCAAGGUGGUCGGACAUUGUGUGGUGUAAUGAGGAUUGGCCUGGUUGCAAAAGGCUUGCUGAUUAAAGAUGAUAUGGACUUGGAGCUGGUUUUAAUGUGCAAAGACAAACCCACAGAGACCCUGUUAAAUACAGUCAAAGAUAAUCUUCCUAUUCAGAUUCAGAAACUCACAGAAGAGAAAUAUCAAGUGGAACAAUGUGUAAAUGAGGCAUCUAUUAUAAUUCGGAAUACAAAAGAGCCCACGCUAACUUUGAAGGUGAUACUUACCUCACCUCUAAUUAGGGACGAAUUGGAGAAGAAGGAUGGAGAAAAUGUUUCGAUGAAAGAUCCUCCGGACUUAUUGGACAGGCAGAAAUGCCUGAACGCCUUGGCGUCUCUUCGACAUGCCAAAUGGUUUCAGGCAAGGGCAAAUGGAUUAAAAUCAUGUGUAAUUGUCCUCCGCAUUCUGCGUGAUUUGUGCAACAGAGUCCCCACAUGGGCACCAUUGAAAGGAUGGCCACUAGAACUUAUAUGUGAAAAGUCUAUAGGUACUUGUAAUAGACCUUUGGGCGCUGGGGAGGCCUUGAGACGAGUAAUGGAGUGUUUGGCAUCUGGAAUACUACUUCCUGGGGGUCCUGGUCUUCAUGAUCCUUGUGAGCGAGACCCAACAGAUGCUCUGAGCUAUAUGACCAUCCAGCAAAAAGAAGAUAUUACCCACAGUGCACAGCAUGCACUCAGACUAUCAGCCUUUGGCCAGAUUUACAAAGUGCUGGAGAUGGACCCCCUUCCAUCUAGUAAGCCUUUUCAGAAGUAUUCCUGGUCAGUUACUGAUAAAGAAGGUGCUGGGUCUUCAGCUCUAAAGAGGCCAUUUGAAGAUGGAUUAGGGGAUGAUAAAGACCCCAACAAGAAGAUGAAACGAAACUUAAGGAAAAUUCUGGAUAGUAAAGCAAUAGACCUCAUGAAUGCACUAAUGAGGCUAAAUCAGAUCAGGCCUGGGCUUCAGUAUAAGCUCUUAUCUCAGUCUGGCCCCGUUCAUGCCCCAGUCUUCACAAUGUCUGUAGAUGUGGAUGGCACAACAUAUGAAGCCUCAGGACCAUCCAAGAAAACAGCAAAACUUCACGUAGCGGUGAAGGUAUUGCAGGCAAUGGGAUAUCCAACAGGCUUUGAUGCAGAUAUUGAAUGUAUGAGUUCCGAUGAAAAAUCAGAUAAUGAAAGUAAAAAUGAAACAGUGUCUUCAAACUCAAGCAAUAAUACUGGAAAUUCUACAACUGAAACCUCCAGUACCUUAGAGGUAAGAACUCAGGGCCCUAUCCUCACAGCAAGUGGCAAAAACCCUGUAAUGGAGCUCAAUGAAAAAAGAAGAGGUCUCAAGUAUGAACUCAUCUCAGAGACUGGUGGAAGCCAUGACAAGCGCUUUGUAAUGGAGGUAGAAGUAGAUGGACAGAAAUUCAGAGGCGCAGGUCCAAAUAAGAAAGUGGCAAAGGCGAGUGCAGCUUUAGCUGCCUUGGAGAAACUGUUUUCUGGACCCAAUGCGGCAAAUAAUAAGAAAAAGAAGAUUAUCCCUCAGGCAAAGGGCGUUGUGAAUACAGCUGUGUCUGCAGCAGUCCAAGCUGUUCGGGGCAGAGGAAGAGGAACUCUAACAAGGGGAGCUUUUGUUGGGGCGACAGCUGCUCCUGGCUACAUAGCUCCAGGCUAUGGAACACCAUAUGGUUACAGCACAGCUGCCCCUGCCUAUGAGGCUACGUUAAAGGAAUAUGGUAGCCAUCAUCUGGGAGGUAAAAAACCUAUGGAAAUUGGCACCUGGGGAACUCAGGAAAGCUGAAAGCACCUUGAAAUGAGAUGGAAGGACCAGAAGGUUAAGGCUGGUGAAGAGGAGACCUGGAGAGAACGUGGGCACUCCUGCCAGACGCAGCCUUGAGAGAGCAGCUGAGGUGCGACAUGAGCUCCCUGUAACCAGCAUGUUCAAGCAAGAAGCCGGUUGUGUGGACGGCAAAGAGGAAAUGCUGUGGAACGUCAGUUUGGACGAGCUCUGAUGUGACUGGUGAUGCUGCCAAGACCAUGUCUCCCUUCUUGGGCACGUCGAUUUAUUGAGAAAAACCAUUCACUGUCACCUACUGCUUCUUACCAGGCUCUGUGAUGGGGGAGAAGGAGCAGUUGGAGAAAAUGUCAGAAUCUGCAGCAGAAGGUGAAAUCAUUGACCCAGAUGGAGAGUACAGGGAGGGGAGGAAAGAGGUGCAGAGGAUUUGAACAGAAUCAGAGUCCUCCUCUGUGCAGGGAGAAAGGCUUCAGUGGGUCUCCCCUCCCUGCUAGGGAUCCUCCUUGCCAGCCCUGGGCUGGGCGCUGGCAGGCCCAUUCCCAGGUCUCCCGCCGAGGGCAGGAGAGGAGCCAGGCCUCAGGAGAGAAGUGCUUACUGAGUAACUUACCAAGAGCGAUAGGCUUCCCACUGAGCCAGACGGGAUCCCCAGGAGGGGAGUCAGAGGCGGGCCUGGCAUGCAUGCACAGAGAGAGUGUGCCCACUUGGGGAGUGUGAAGGGCCUUGCUGUGGGACCCGAGAGGAUGAGCAGAGUCAAGUGGCAGGUGGGACACACAGUCUGCAGUCACUUCUUAAAAGGCCCUGGGUGGUGUGUCCUUCAGUGAUGACCAUUGUCCACGAUAGUGAGUUCCAGAGGGUCGAUUGGGACAGUUGGAUAGCCAAGGACCAGAGUCAGGAGGCAAGGCUGAUGAGCAAGAGGCUGUUGCCAUUGGCCAGGCGAGGCGUGAGGGAGGCUGAUGGAGCGCAGCAGCAGAGGGAUGGACAGGCAGGAAUGGCAUCUCCUCACAGGCCAGGCUCCUCUGCCGGGUUGGGUAGGGACGGGAAGAUGAUGGCCCCCAACCCUGGGCCAAGGAACAAUAGCACCCAUCCGGGGGCGGGGGACCUGCUGGAGUACUUCUCCUGGACCACUGCCCAGUGGGCAAUAGAGGGAACAAUGGUGUUUCUGACCAGGACGGGGGAAGGCAGGGGAAUGGAGGAAGAUACUGACAGGGUACAGAGGAGGUAGAAUGGAGCGAGGGCCAUCUCCACCGGGCUAGGAAAUGGGGCUUUGGUGGGCCACACUCCAUUGUGCUGGAGCGCUCUGGCAUCUCCAUUGGCAGUGGGGAGGGGCUUGUGACCUAUCAGCAUCUUCACCCUUUCUGAGUUUCCGCCGGGCUGGGCUCUCCAGCCAGGAGUCACAGGUACCGGGUGGUUGUUCAUGCUGAGGCCUUUUGCUUGGCAAAAAGUUAAUCCAUUUGUGUUCAUUUUUAACCUAAGCAAGGGUUGGAGCUUGUUGGAUUCAGCAUCUGUGGAACACAGUCUGUAGCCCAUGGGAAGACGUGGACAUUCUUUCCCAAGUUCUUGAAGGACGGAAAGGACCAUGAACUUGUGAGGUGACCGGAGGAUUGGUUUUGGGUGUCAGUUUUGUGUCUGUCCCAGUGCUGCCACUUUUGCUUUGAAAUGGAUGGGGAGAGCUGAAGGCCAGCAUGGGUUUCUGCACCUGUUUCCUACAGCUCUGCUGGGGACUGUGGCUCAGGUGGCAGCUGUGGACACGGAUCCUGUCAGCCUUUGGGUGGCCAGAGCUCCAAGGCCAGGUGUCUCUUAGCUGCAAGCAGCCUUCACUGUUAAUCAACAGGCUACACAAAUCUCACCUCUAAAGAGGUGAAAUGUGAAAAUAUAUGGGAAGCACUGCCUUAGCCCUGUGUCCACAAAUCCUUUCUGUAAAGGGCCAGAUAGCAUUUCAGGCUUUAUGGACCAUGUGGUCUCUGCCACAACUGCUCAGCUCUGCCACUGUAGCACAAAAGCAGCCAGAGACAGUGCGUAAAUAGAUAGCAUGGCUGUGUUCUGAUGAAGCUUCACUUAAAAAUACACAGGGCUGUAGUUUGCCAACCCCUGCAAAGUAGGGAGUAUUUUGCCAAAGUUGGCUGUAUUUCACCAACCCCUUAGACUAUAGAGAUGACUUACCCUUUGGCUUAAUCAUGACUGGAAACUUCCUUCCCAUCCACUGCCUGGAACCAUCCACCUCCCCACAAAGGCUUCCUGAGCAUCUCCUCCGUGUGAGCACUGGCUCAAUGCACAGGACGAUGUAGUUCCUGCCCAUAUGGAACUUAGGUUUUGAGUGACACGUGGGACAUUGAAAGAGGAGAGCAGGUGGCUAAAGAGCAUCAUACAGAACAGGGCUCAGGGAAGUCCCAGGUGGUAGAAUCUCAAAGAGAAGGGCUGAGGGUGAAUCAGGAAAGCCCUGAAGGCAGGCAGCUCUGGAGUCGGGUUUAGACGAGGAGGCUGCAGUUCUCCAGGAAGGGAAACAGGACCAGAUAACGGAUGAGAUUGUGUCAAACAAUGAGGAGGCCUGCAUAGUCACACAGGCGCAUGGGGUCUGCUCGUAAAGGACCAGGAGGGCCAGGCUCAGGAGUGUGGACUGGAUUCUCUGGGCAGUAGGGAGCCAUUGGACAGCUGUGCUCAGGAGGGUCAUGUGAUCACAAAUGCUUAUUAGAAAUGUCACUGGCUAUGGAGGACCAUGUCUGUGGUUAUAAGUUACGCCUUUCCGUUUAGUCUGGACUUCUUGGUCAAGGUACUUUUGGUAUUAGAGUGGGGAAGAGAGGCCCAGAGAGUUGGACAGGUUUUCUGACCAUUGGCUUAUAGUCAGUGAGCACCCCACCUUUAUUUUGACAUGACAGAGCUUUACAGAAUCUUCCUUCUUCAGGCGUUUUCUUUCCUGCUAUCCUAAAGAUUCACGUACAAGGGCAGGAUAAAUGAAACAUUCUGUCUCCAAUCUAAGUUCGGCUUGGGGCCUCAGAAUAUGAAGGUAAAGGGGCGGGGACGGACUGACUGCCCCUUGCUUCAGAAUCAAGUCACAUGGCGGGAACGCUCUAUGGAGCAGAUUGCUUCCUUUGUACAUGCCCUAGGCCCGUGUUCAGCAGGCCUCAGAGAAGCAGAGGUGCUGGCCUCUCGUCUCCAGAGGCUGCCAGCUACUAAGGGAGGUGGAAGCAACUACCCCUGGGGGUGGACUGCUCUGGGCCGGGCCCGACGUCAGGCGUAGGGGACUGAGGUGAAUCAGACAUGGUGGCUGCAUUGAGGAAUGCUCAGUGUAGUUGGGGUGAUGAAAAAACCCACGGCUGUUUGUAGCGCUUUCUGCUGAGCAUGGUCUUUCCUCUCAGAGGGGUUUCUAGGCACGUUGAAGGGAGCUGCCAUUCAGAGCAUCGGAGAGGUGCCAGGGACGUGAGCUGCUGCCAGUUUGACAUGAACAGAAGGUGGGAGUAGCUAGUGUUGCUGUGCGUUGAUAGGAGCACAGUGUCCGCUGUGAAGGGGCGGGUAGGGCUGGAGAAAGAUGGCCUAAUACAAGCGCCUCCACAGGUGCUGAUUCAGUGAAGCCCCAACAGCCCCGCGGGGUAGGUGAGGAUCACAUGCAGCUUGGAGAAGAGAAGGCACUUGCCCCUCUGCCUGAGCUGGGAGGUGGUGGCCAGCUGCACACAGGGCUGUCCCAGGAUGCUGACGAGGCGGGACCAGCCACAGGCCGGCAGCGCUGCACUGUGACCCUUUCACAGGGCCCAGCCUUGUUUCUGGCCUUCCGGGACUGAGUCAGGAGGUGAGGGCUAUGUUGCUGCCCCAGCACAGUCGGGCCAGGUGUGGGGAAAGGCAGGAGGGAGGUGUGCUGUGCUCUGAGCAGCCUGGCAGGCCCUGGAGAGGCAGGAAGCCACUGCAAACUUCAGAAACUGGGUGCUGCUUCCUCUCAGUGAAGUUGUGUUUUGCUACUCUCUGAUAAUCAGGUCAGGGAUACAGAAGGAAGAGUUGCCCCUGGGUGGCUGCUGUCUUUAGACUUGUCGGGCUCCCUCUGGUACAGACGUGCCUCUCGGAUUUUGCUGCCUGGUCUUCUCUCUUAUGGACAUGGAGUGGCUCUCAGGCUCUUAUGGUACAGCUCUAAGAAGGAACACUUCUUGCAUUGUCUAGUGAAGUUUCUGGGUUUAUGGAAGGGAAACUGACAAACUGGAGCCGGCACAGAUGGACACUGGGUAAAGAGAAUGCAGCCUGUCCCUGGCUGCAGUGCCAGGUGUGGCCUUUCCUGUGACAGCAAGUCACGUGCUGUGGCUCCAGCUUCAUAGGAAGGCUCUUGUCUGUCAGGCAGUGGAGUUACUUACAGACAAGAGCCUUGCUCAGGCCAGCCCUGCCCCUGCCUACAGGCACAGGUGCUUUGCCAUCUGUCCCGUUUUCCUGCUUAGGGAACCAAGAUGGUCAGAAAGUUUCUUGACUCUAACCUAAAUAUUUCUGCCGCUUUUGCGAGUCAGACUCUUUUUCUUUUCAUUGUUCAUGGAAAUGGAUCAAGGAGUAGGAGUUUUAGAUAGCUAGGGAGGUGGUGAGAAGUUCCGUCUCCACCUGUAAUUUACAAGUCGAGUCUUAGGUUUCCAGCCUCUUUCCUCUGUUCUGGGUAUCUCGUGCUCUCCACCCUUUAGGGAUUUUGGUGUGGUGGGUCAGUGGCAAGACACUCGAUCCAGACACACGCAUUUCCGAGGCACUUCCAUGUCACUUACCAAGCCUCCUUGUGUGCGGAUAUCACUUCACUGGCUCCCUCAGGCUGCAGCCCUGACCCCCAAGGUAGUGAUGGCAACUGGUGCAUGAGGUUUGAUUUGGAAGUAGCCAGGCAAGCCCUGGUUGCAAAAAAUACCUCUUCUAUUCCGACAGCAGGCCAGAGGCCGCUGCCAUUAGACGCAUCCCUCUACUUACCCCCGAUCACUUUUCAUGGUCAGGCCGGCCUUGCACAAGCAGGUUCUGUUCACUCCGCACCCCCAUUUCUUAGAUGGGGUACUGAGCACUGCUUUUCCCUGAGCUCACUUCAUGUGGCAGCUUCUCAGGGAUGGGACCUACCAUGGCUGCGGGAGAUGCUUUGCUACUACUUACUACCUUUCCGAGGGAGGAGGGCUCAUUUUUAGAAAUGUUACUGGGGAGCCAAAUUGUAGGCAUCCGACCAGAGGGCCUCGCUCUCUCCAUCUCCCAGGAACCAAGGGUAGCUCUGGCUCUCUGAGGAGCUGUCUCCAGCCUCCAGGUGGGCGUCCUUUCCAGCAUACCAGGGCUUAUGGAGGCAAAAUGAAAGCUGGUCCACGUGGGAACUCCCUACUGUUGUCCUUUCCUUGGGCAGACACCAUAUACUUUUUAGCUCCUAGCAGUGUUUAUCCCGUUUUCCCCAAAGCAUCCUUGGACUCAGGCCUUUCAUCCUGGACCCAUCUGUCUGGCCUGUUGUGCUGAGCCUUUGGUCUAAGUGGUUGGUUGGUCCCAGCCACUUCUUCAAAAGAAGGUUUCCUGAGGUAACCAUCAAUUAGGGCAAUCGUACUUCCAGGAACAGUGAGGCUGAUGGGCCUGUUCCCAAGGGUACUUUGGCAGGGGGUGCUGGGGAAGGGGCUGGCCUAGGGCCAGGUUCAUCAUACCAUUAGCCCUACAGCCCCAUGCCUUUGUGUCCUGGUUUAGCCGCCGUGUAGUGGUCCUGCAGGAGUGGAGCCUGUAGGACUUGCUUCUCAGCGGCUCCAAGCAGAACUCUGUCUGGGAAGGUGGGAGGUGCAGCCAGUCUAGACCUGAAGCCCUCACACUAAGGACUAAGGUAGGCCUGCUCAGCCUUAGCCCUUCGUCAGCCCCAAGGGUUGGGGAGGCAGGAGGAGGCUGAGCGUAGUCGUGGAUAGAAACCUUUCCCUACCGCACGGUUACACACAUGGCAUGGGACUCCUGGCUGUGGCUCACUCGGGUCUACUGAAGACCAAGUUAGUUUUUAGAAAUCUAUUUAAAAUAUCUAUCAUGUAUCUAUUUACUGUGUUUUUCUGAAUAUGCAAGUGUAAAUAGUAUAAUUUGCAGUGCAAAAUCCUUGGCAAUAACUUUGUGUAUUAUGUUUAAAAACACUGGAAACCGCGACCACCAUGGACUGCCCUUCCCCUCUGAGGCAAUUAUUACAUGUAGGACUCUGAACUUUAAACCUUCAGCGUGACUGAAGCAGCAGCCUGCACAUGUGGAUGGUCAUCAGUGCCUCGCCCAGAGAUGCCUGGCCUUCAUCCAAAGGGACCCUGCUGCCACAAGUCCUCCAGGCAGCACCCGCGCACUGUGGCUCCUUCGCACUGAGUAUGUUGGACUCUGCCAUAGACUGACCCUCUUGUCUGGCUGCUGCAGUUUGUCUGUAAUGCCCUGACAUGUUGCAUUCUCCCCAUUUGGAUAAAUAAAAACAAAUGCUUCUGUCACACACA